UUUCCGUAGGUGAACCUGCGGAAGGAUCAUUAAAAAAUGAGACCUGAUUCAAGGUCUAUUAAUAAUCCUACCCUUUGUGGAUUUGUUUGUUUUAAUAUGUGUCUUUCCCUGUUUUAUGGAAGCUUGUUAAAAGUGAUCAAUCCUUCAGGGAAUGGCAAACUUUUUUUAAAUUAAACUUUUUGUAUUCAUUUGUCUAAAAUUAUUUUUAUAAUAUAAAAACAACUUUGACAAUGGAUCUCUUGGUUUCUCGCAACGAUGAAGAACGCAGCAAAAUGCGAUAAGUAGUGUGAAUUGCAGAAUACGUGAAUCAUCGAAUCUUCGAACGCAUAUUGCACUUUUUUGGUUUACCAAAAAAGUAUGUCUGUUUGAGUAUCAGUAAAAUAUUCUCAUAAAAACUAUUUGUUUUUAUGGUUAUGAGUGUUUUACAACGAUAAACAAGUUGUUUCACUUUAAAUUCUUUGUCUUUUAAAAAAUCAUUAAAAACUGAUUUUUUUUUAAAAUUGGAUAAAUUUUCCCGUAAAAAGGAAUAACCUAAACAAUUUUAAUUAAAAUUGGUUUGAUUUCUUUUAAGACUUUAAAGGAAAAAAGAGUAAAAUUAACUUGAUCUCAAAUCAGAUAAGAGUACCCGCUGAACUUAAGCAUAUCAAUAAGCGGAGGAAAAGAAACUAACUAGGAUUCCCUCAGUAACGGCGAGUGAAGCGGGAAGAGCUCAAAUUUGAAAUCUUCAAGGUUCUACCUUGACGAAUUGUAGUUUAAAGAAGUGUUUUCUGUUGGAGUUUUGGUAAAAGUUCUUUGGAAUAGGACAUCAUAGAGGUGAGAAUCCCGUAUUUGACCAUUAUUUCCAACUUUGUGAUACACUUUCAAAGAGUCGGAUUGUUUGGGAAUGCAGUCCAAAAUGGUGGUAAAUUUCAUCUAAAGCUAAAUACUGGCGAGAGACCGAUAGCGAACAAGUACCGUGAGGGAAAGAUGAAAAGAACUUUGAAAGAGAGUUAAACAGUACGUGAAAUUGUCAAAGGGAAGCGUUUGACACCAGUGUUGUCUUCUCGAAAUCAAUUAAAAAUGGCGGGAUUUUGUUGUUAUGACCUUAUCAGCUUAUUGCACUUUUUUCCUGUCUUUUUAAUGCACUUUUCGUUUAACAAGUCAACAUCAAUUUCUUUUGUUGUAAAAGGUCAUUGGAAGGUGGCUUUCUCUUCGAGAAAGUGUUCAUAGCCUUUGACUUCUGCAAUCGGAGAGAUUGAGGUCUGCAGCGUAGAUCCUUCGGGGUUAGAUGCAUGUGCUAAGCUAUAGUUUUUUAUAGACAAUUGUUGACUAAUGAUUAAUCAUGUAGCUUACUCUCGUUUUGCGCUAUUUUAACCUACGCUUAGGAUGUUG
rnacentral:misc_RNA from 1 species